AUGACUCUGGUCUCCCCCGAGAAAUUUCCAGAUGUUUCGCCUAUCCUCCAUAACCCAGAUCAAGGGCACGCCAUCAUCAUUUCAUACGACUCUCCUGCGCAACGAGAUCGAGAGAUUGCAGGCAGCGAGCGCACGAAUUCCAUGAGGGGGAGUGCGAGGUCUCUAGUGGAAACUGCAACCAGACAAAUCAAACCUGGCAAUGGACUUGCGAGGUUGAUGACGAUUACUACUCCCAAGAAGCAUGAGAAGGAGAUCAGCCCUACUGAAUCUGCCCUCCCAAAGGAUGAAAAUGUCGAGCCCCUCGUCGCAUUCAGCCGUCCGCCUCCUUUGCCACCGGUUCUAGGCCCCUUGAUCGCGCUCUCGCUUUUUCAGACUUCUUCUAGUGAUGAAGACAGCAAAUGA
rnacentral:rRNA from 1 species